AGACUUACACCCACUAUGGACUGAUGUGGAAUCUGUAUGCUGUGCACCAGGAAAUGCUGACCCUGAAAGGCCAGCAAAGAUGAAGAC